rnacentral:lncRNA from 1 species
UGCGAUUAAGUUGAUCUAGCACACGGACAUGAAGGCAACAUCUAAGAGGUGUUAAACAAGCACACAAUUUGAGACUCGGGUAACAAACACAGAGCAAUGCGCACUUUGGUAUAGUUGAGGGAUUGGACCAUGAGAACAUCUCAUUGGGAAAACAGGGCGUGUAGCGUGUGACAUUCAGAUCAGUGCAUGACUUUUUCUCAGGGUCUCGUCGGCUGCUGUCGUUUUGCGCCUCGAAGUCUUGGAUUCUGUU